rnacentral:sRNA from 1 species
CCCUACCCCCGAUUGAAACGAAAAGCAUUUUAACAGGAUUUCCUACUUUUUUAUAGACCAAAAAGAGCGCCCAAAGGAAGCUCCUUUUUUGACUAAUAAAAAAAGGCAAGACGAUAAAAUCUUGUAGUGGAAAGCGGGAAUUAGG